CCACAGCCUACCUGAGUAUUGUUGCUGACCAUGUCCAUCCCUUUAUGACCCCAAUGUACCCAACUUCUGAUGGCUACUUUCAGCAGGAUAAUGCGCCAUGUCAUAAAGCUGGAAUCAUCUCAGACUGGUUUCUUGAACAUGACAAUGAGUUCACUGUACUCAAAUGGCCUCCACAGUCACCAGAUCUCAAUCCAAUAGAGCAUCUUUGGGAUGUGGUGGAACGGGAGAUUCGCAUCAUGGAUGUGCAGCCAACAAAUCUGCGGCAACUGUGUGAUGCCAUCAUGUCAAUAUGGACCAAGCUCUCUGAGGAAUGCUUCCAGCACCUUGUUGAAUCUAUGCCACGAAGAAUUGAGGCAUUUCUGAAGGCAAAAGGGGGUCCAACCCGUUACUAGCAUGGUGUACCUAAUAAAGUGGCCGGUGAGUGUAUUUUGGCGGUGUCCAGUUGUUCAGUCAUAUUGGCAGGAGGUGACACGGACAAUACAGAAGGUUUUUGGUGUUGGAAUUGACUGCUCCUUUCCUGCAAUCUAAUUGAAAAUGAUCGUAGCUUGCUUAUUGGUGCAAGACAGGUAGUGUUUAAGACACUACUAGCGGCCAGCAAGAAAGCUGUAUCACCAAGGUGGCUGCAGGCAGCUCCCCCAGCAGUUCUUGACUGGAUAGAUAUUGUCAAUAUUAUACAAAAUAUGGAGAGAAUGACCUUCUCACUAAAUCACCGGGUGGAUAAGUUCCUGCAGUACUGGGAAAAAAUGGAUUGUGUUAGUGAACUCACAAGCUGAUGUCUGAGCCAUUAUUGUAUGAUAUCUGACAUUACAUUAUACAGAUAUCUGUACAUUUCCAUUAGUACAGAUAACCAACUGCUUGCUUCAACAUGUUCAGUUGAGUGUUUCUAUAAAAAUCAAGUAUAGAAAAAUUAAAUUAAAUUAAAAAACUGUUUAUUAUGGUAAGCUUAGGGGUUGCUAUGUAUCAUUGUGCCUUGAGAAGAUGCAGUCUAGUAAUUAAUGUUAACCUUCAUUUAUAACUUAAAUCCAAACAAACCUGAUUACAAUGAGCUUUGUUUCUGAUCCUAAUAAAGCCUUGUAAAAUAAAUUAUGAAACACAGUCUGUUUUGAUCUUCUCUGGCUGGUUUGAUUGAUUGUGGGUGUUUUUGGCAAACUUGAACUUGUAUUCAUAGCAGUAUAGAGAUGUUUAAUGUGGAGGCUAAGCAAAGAAAAUGACAAAAAGCCAGUGUCAGGCAGUAGAAUACCGGGGUACUUCUGAAAGCCCUAAAUAGCAGCAGCAAUAAUACAGUGUACAAUAUUUAAGCUGUUGCUCUUUUUCCUUCCCUUUCCAAUGCACCUUUGAGGUUCUUGGCACUGUGCUAGAAAUCCCAACUAAGAAACACCUACUCUCAGAACCUUGCUGUCUCAUCCUUGUGCAUGGCCCUUGAUGACUAAUUACUUCAUCUCCCAGGUGUGAAACCAAGUCAGCAAAAUUCAAAGUGCAGGUUUCCAGAGGUGAAAAACCCUGCCUUAACUGGUGACUGCUGGGAAGCUUCUUAGUGUGUUAUGAAUGUUCAAAGUGGACCCCUUGGUUCAUGUGCCAUGUUUUUACUGAUACUUCUAGCAACAAAGUCAGGAAUAUAUCAACAUAAAAAAAGCGUUUGUUUUUUUUUGCCCGUUUACAAAGGUCCUUUGAACAUUUGCUUCUCCUUAAGGGUAUCCUCUUCAAAAAAUGUUUUAAAGCUGCUGAAUGAAAAAUGAACGGAGAAAAGUAACUCAGCUCCCACACAAAAGCUUAGAGGGCCUGGCAAACCUUUAAAGUUGGGUGUUUUGCCACCACCAUCUUCAGUCAACAAAGAAGAAACCUUUACAGUGAAAAAGAAAAUCUAUUUCUACAAGAUAAAAAGUCCAAGAAACAGGCCAACAUUUGAUUUAUGAAGAAUUUUCUCACAUUUUCUUGGUGUGGCACAGAUUAAUUUAUGCAACAUUGUUAAACCAAUCUACUUCAACUUUUUACUAUCAGAGGGCACUUUAAGAAAAAUAUGUGCAUUAGCUCCUGCCUGACGCUCUUAAGUGUGCCUAUGGCAGCUGAAUUUUGUCCCACCUGUUAAAAAGAGGUAAUAAGCCUUACUUGUAAUGAUUCAUGUAGAUGACAAAGGAAUUUGUCUCUGCUCUAGGAAACUGAGUUGGUUACAGAGUAACAGACAGCUAUCACAUGCUGAUGGCUCUAAAUAUCUGCACAUGACCUCCUCCUCAUUCUGUAAUGCACAUUAGUAUUAAUGCCACACCACUCUGCCACAGUGUUGCUUCAGCAUCACAUUACUGGAGCGUGAUGUUCCCUGCUCCAGGGCCAGACUCCCCGUGUGUGUUUGUGUAUGUAUGUGUGCAAGUGUGUGUUUUGCAUGUGUGUGAAUGUGAAAAGCAUUUUUAUGUGUGUAAAAAUGUACAUGUGCUUAUGUGUGCGCUCUCCAAAUCUGUUCACAAACUGCUGAUAACAAGCCAGGGACUGGGUUUUCACUGGAUUAGCUUUCAGUAGGCGACACACCAGAUAGCUGAGAUACCCCCCCUUUGUAAAUGUGCAUGUGUUUGUGUGUGUGUGUGGCUGGAUUAAUGUUUUCAGUCUCUCAAGUUCCAGUAGUUAGGUGUUACCCACCUAGUGAUAUUCACAGAUUUUAAUUUAAUUUGGAAAAGCUUUUGUUAGAAAUGACCAAAAGCGGAAGGGAAUCGAGAAAAGGAGAAAAGAAAAGAAGACAUUAAAUAUGACAGAACCAUCAAAGGGUAUAGGAAGUUAAAUAAAACUGAAGAAAUGUAAGGGUUGCUAAAAAGAAAAAAAGGACUAAGGGGGUAUAAAGGGUACAGUACCUUUUUCUCACUUACCUUUUCCUUACUUUGAGCAUUUGACCCCCCCCCCCCCCCAUCUCUAAGAUGAUCCAUGGAAGUUGAGUUUAUGAGUUGACAAUAAGAGUUUUCCCUAACUUUGAAGCCAAAUGCAUACCCAGACUACUUUUUUUUCUUGGACACAGGAUAAAAUGAGUUUUAGUCUCACACCCUAAAAAUCUGUCAUUGGCUUCUGACAAUAUAAAUUAUUUACAUGGGAAUCCUUCAGCUGCGUAACAAAGCUGUCUUUACGUUUCAGGAUCCCUGUGGUGUGACCAGCACCGUUCAGACCCUGUUCUCAGGUGGUCUAAGUCUGUUCAUCUGAAAACUCAGACUGUGUUUGUGUGACAUACAAAGAUGGAUUGUCCUCUCUGUCAGGAAACAGCAAUUUUUUACAAUUAUGAUGAUGCAUAUUUAGACAAAAAUGGUGGUUAUUGAAUACAAAAGAAAAAGACAGCAGUGUAUUUGGAACAUUUUAUCUGAGAGAACGAUCAUUACCAAUUUCAAUAAUGUAUUAAUUUUCAUAAAUCAUGUAAUUCAUUUGUGCCGUGAUAAAUCGUGAAUCUAUCAGUGUCAUUGUGAUAUAUUUGGGUUGAUAACCUAUUCUUUAACCUCAAUUAAUGUGUUGAAAUGCUACAAAACCACAAUCCAGCCCACAGCCCAUCACUAAUUUUAUUAUUAGAUUAUUAUACUAAUUAUUAAACUAACUUCAAGAUGAGUUUAAAACUUGAGAGCCCUGUAUCUUUGAGCCAGGCCUGCAAAACAAUGACUAAAAAGAUAGAGGGGAGCUGACAAGAACUAGUGGGGAGAUUGUGGGGGUGGAUACAAAAACUUGUCAAAGUAAAAGGAAAGGAAACAGAAGAUUUGUGUUUUUAUGCAUCAUUUAAAGGCAGGUAAUGUACUUCAUUUGCUCACUUAAGAAACAUGGCAGAGGGCAGUGGUGGACUGGACCAUCGGGAUCACCGGGACCCCCCACCCAAAAAAAAAAAAAAGAUUCUGUGUAAAGAAUAGUGUGCCCGCAGGCAGGCCACUGAACUUGGAAGCAGGCCAGGCCAGCAGUAAAAGGGUUUAAUUAAUCCAUGCCCGUUGCCGUGGUAACACGUAGCUGGUGCAACCAGAAGUAGAGCUGUGAGGUGAUCGGCCGCAGAUGCGCUGAUCGAGUAUCGUUGUCCGCUCCGGUCCCGAGCUGAUCGUGUACAUUCUUAGUUUAAAUGAGUAAACAAAUAGUUAAAGGCAUGACUAAUAUAGAGUUUUUUUAACUAUGACAAAUGUUCUUCUGUAAAAUCUAGUUCAGUAGGCUAUAGGUGCAUCUCAGAGAUUGUUUACAUUUUUAGUUCACAAGCAAAGAGUUGUGUCACAUUGUGGUUGUAUUAUUAUUUUUUUUUUGGUCAAGUAAAGUUUGCUGUGAAGCUGUUGCAAAGAGGCAUAUUUUUGUUUUUACUUCAUAUUAAAUUUGCAGUUAUGUAGCCAAUGUUGAAUUCUUCACAUGAGCAUUAUAUUCACUAAAUCUGGCUUCAAAUGUCCAAAUUUUUUUCGCUGGUGCCGGCAUUUCUGCGUCAAUGUGUAUUGGCCUGGCCUGGAUGGAGUCAAACUCCUGGCCUGAAUUAUGGUCCCAGUCCGCCCCUGGCAGAGGGGAAUGACAAUGAAGAUUAAAAAAAAAAAAGGUGUGCUGUAUUCAUGUUUAUGUUUGGUAUUCUGUUGAUCAAAAUGUAAUCCAAGACCAAGUAUGCAGAUCCUAAUUGGACAACCUGCUCACUUAUGGGCUGUGAUUUAGUAUCUGAAUUUCUAAAUCUAGCUCUGGGUGGAAACAGAUUUGGCUGUGAAUACUGUCUUGGCAAGUACAGAAUAUUCAAUGAGCCAAAAAGUCCUUUUUUGGUGCUUUUAGGUACGUGGCUGCUGUCUGUUGCUAAGCAACCACAUUCAGUAAAUUGUUAGGUUCAGGGCUUCACCCCACCCCCCUUAGACAGACAGACAGACAGAGAAACAGACAGACACACGGAUUCCAUCAUUGGAGUUUCUCUCUCACAUCAGCAUUUUUUAUAAGCUGGGUUUUAUUUUCACCAGCUCACCUUCAGUCCUUUUUUCUGGCUUUCUGGCCUUUUCCUCCUCUUUUUGCUAUGUUCUUUUUACAAAAUAGAUAUACUCACUGUGCACUCCUUUGUUUGUCUCUUACACAACACACACCCCCACACACAUGCGCACCUCUCUUUGUACUUGUGCUCACACUGUAUGUCUGUGAGCCAGACUGUCUCUAUAAUUGGGUUAUUCUUUUCUUCACCAGUCUGGUGCACUGAGACAUACACAGACACACACACACUUAGCCUGCACAAACACAGUUUGCGAGGUUUAAAUAUAUUCUUAUAAAUUGUUGCUGAGGUAGUAAAACUGCACCCAUACAUUCAUUUAGACCUACAAGGGGAUGCAAGUUCUGUGUUGUUACUUCAUUUGUAGAUGAUUUUAAAAUGACAACAUGCAUUGUCUUUUUUGUCUUUCCUUCUUUCUUGCCACACUCACACACACACACACACACACACACACACACACACACACUCACACACACACACUGACAACAUAUGUGCACACACUCAUUUAGUUGUUUUAUAAAAGUCCCAUGUGUAUGUACAUCCUGUACUUGAGACCUGCAACUGGACUUCCUGACCCCCAUGCGUUCAUAUUUUCUAUAUAUAACAGAUUUUUCUUAAAUCAGAAAGUCUGCAGUGUAGUUGUAUUUUUUCAUGCUUGCAUGGUUUAGACAGAGUUUUAGCACCAAAGUCAGGCCUAACACUAAGUAUAUGGACUGAGAAGUAGUUGAACUGCAAAUAUGUCGCAUUGGCUCUCUAUGGACAAACAUUCUCAACAAGUUAUCUUGUUAUCUGGAUCUCAAAUGGAGGAUUAUCUAAAAGUCAAAAUUAUAUCCCAUUAUCUCAUAAUUCUCAUUUUGUAUUUCUGUAGAAUGCCUUGAAAUGGGAAAAUUGUUGAUCUAAUACUUGUAUAAAAAAUGCUUUUAGUAAGGCUAAGAUUGAAUUUCGGCCAAGAACUUUCAUUUUGGUGAAUCCCUAUACAUCACAACAACUAAAAACCCAUUUUACACCUUUAGGUGCAACAGCAACAAUGAACAUCUUCUUCUACAAACAAAAUUGUGGCAGUUUAAACAGAAUUAAAGCUUACUCUGUGAAGAAAUGAAAGGAAUCUUAGGAAGUAGAAAGCUUUCAAUUUCAUGCCAUUAUCAUAUGCUAGUUUCUUAAUGAAAACAACCCAAUAAAUGUUGUUACAGAAAAUGGUAAAAAUAAAAAUAUUCACAGGUUGACAGGGAGCUGUGGUCAUUCAAUACUCAUCCAUACAGAUUAUGGCUUGACAUUUGAAGUCAGAGGCAGUAAAAUGUCAGACAGGUUAUGACAGGAAUGAUGAUAGGUAGAUUACGGCUGACCUCUGACCUAGAAGUCUUGAAAGGUCACAGCUAACUCAACCAUCUGUGAGCUGAUGUGCUUUUGGAUCACGAAAUGAAUGAUUGUCAAGCCAAGCCAGAAUGCAGAGGAAAGUUUGCCGUUAAAAUCUCUGAGCAUUUCUUUUUUCCAGCCAAGGGGAUUCUUUCCUGAGUUACUGUUGACCAGCGGUGCUGAGAGGUGUUGUCCUGUAUGCAUUGUGUGUACAUCUUAUCUAUUUAAUUUUUUCUUUACUGAAAGCAAAGUACAAACAAGAGCAGAUUCUGUCUUAAGAAGUGAUAUUCCUGGGGUGCAGUCUUUUAAGCUAAAUCUUCAAAGUCAUAGGAUUAGAUAAUUUUGAAAACACAUUCUGUAAACUAGUGCGAGCAUAUUUUAUUAUUUGUCACUACCUCCUAACAACAACUGUUCACAUAAGUUGUGAGUUUUUUCUUUUUUAAGUAGAAAAAUCUUUGACAUCUGAGUAAGCUUGAUCCAUGCAACUUUUUGAUGGAUGAAAAGUGUGGGAUUUCCCAAAAAGAAAACAAUACUGUAGCGAUUUGAAUUUAUAAUAAAUGUUUUAAGAUUAAUAUUUGAUAAUAAUCAUGAUUUAUGAUAUUUAUGCACUCGUUAAAGGGGGCACCACCCACCUUUAAUGGUGAGAAAUUAAAGAAAAACAAAGGUUUAGUAUAGAAAUCAAACAUUAAGUUAAUCUUGAAUUAAUCAAUCUCAUAUCUCAAGCCGAAAUUCUCAUUUCAGGGACUCCACUUCUGGAACAACACUAACAGACAGGAACUUGGAAAAAUGAUCGGUUUAUUACAGGAUAAAUGAUGGUACAACAUACAUGCAAUAAAUGAAAAUACAAUGAAUAUAGAUAACAGAUGAAUGAAAGAUUCUGAGUCAGGCUAGGAUUACUAAAGUUAAUGAUAGUGAGUGAAUAUACUUCCUACAUUAACUAUUGUGUAAAGAUAAAUUUGGAUGUGUUUAUCUGAAUUAUAAAGCAUGAGACACCAUCAGCCCUGUUCGGAGCUCUGGAGGUUGGAUACUUAAGUGAGGCUGGUCCUUGGAGAGGAUGGAGCAGGUUCCGAAGGUCUGAGGCUACCGGUUUGGGAGGUUCAGCUCUGAAGAGGACUGAAGUCAGACGAAGGACAGGCCAGGAGUCACAGCACACAGGCCUGAAUGCAAAAACCAAUGCCUUAUGGAUCCUUUGGAUGCUCUUUUGGUCUCACUGCAACACUCUGGUUCAGAGGAUGUCUUUGGCCCUGCUGGGUGGCGUUCAGAGGUGACUUGGCAAUCAUGCAGAUAACCAAGGAAAAGAGGCUUCAAUGACCAGUUGAAAGUAUUUCUAAAAUGGCUUUGCUAAAUUAAAGAAAAAUCAAUGAAAGGCUUUAUCUUGAAUUGCUAUGUGCACAAAAAGUUGAAGUUUCACAACUUGAACUAAUAGGAUGUUAAAGAAAAAUCAAAAAAACAUGAAUGAACACUUGGCAAAAACUUUGGAAAAAGUAAGACAAAGAGAAAACAAGUUAAGAGGGAACUUAGCUGAAACAAAAAGAGAAAAAAAAGGGAAAAGCAAGAGCAAAAGGGCAAGGUCAAAAGGCAAGAGAGGAAAAUAUGAGAGAGCGAGCACCCCAACUUUACUGGUUUUAUACUCUUCAAACUUGGAGUGUCUCUGAGGUGUGAGGAGAGAAAAGAGGGGUCCCUGAUCUCCAUCUGCAGCUUCCUGAGAGGAGACUUUCAAGAGCCCUGAUUGUUUAAUCCAACUUAUACUUUGGCUAGUAAAGGAGUCAGAUCGAAUACUCACUCAUUAUGAUUAAUGUCAUUGAAUGCAGGGUUCAUGAUAAAGGAUCUGAUGCUAAACACAUCAUCCAAAAAGCACCCACACUGCUUUGCCAUCCAACUGUCUCAUUCAUUUGGGUGCUUCUCCCACAUGGUUUGCUUUAAGAAUUCAGUUGUUGAGGAAUUUCAUAUGAGUGUGUAGUAACAUAACACACCGCAUUAAUUGAAGUUAUGGUCAAACACACCGUAACACCGAGUUAGACACUCCCUGGCAAGUCGAUCACCAAAUGCAGUGGAAAAUUUAUGAUUAUUACUUCACGUAAAAAUGCAGUCAGACAAAGAGGCAAUGAACUAUCGCAUCUUUAGCACACAUACAAAAUGUGCGUGGAGACAUAGACCUCUGUGUAUUGCUAUUCAUCAUAUUUAUAUUCAACAUUCAUCCUAACUUGGUGUUACGGUGUGUUUGACCAUAACUGAUGUGCGUCAGCAUUUUUUUUUAUCCCCAUGAAAGACAACAAAAAUCUUAAAAUGUUUGCCUAAGCUAAGGCAAGCCCAUGAUCUUGCUACCAUAACAGCAAAAGGCCAUGCUGCCCUAAUUUAACAGACAUAAGAGGUCUUAGGGCCGAACUACACGAAUGCGGAUAUAUUUCAAACCGCACAUAUUUAUGUUCAAUUAGGCCUCCCUACCACACCAAAGCGGGAGUUUGGAGCACUCAAACCGGAUAAAUCUGAAUCCGGAAAAACAAGUGGAGAAAUAAAAAAAUAUCCGUAUCCCGUAUCCGUAGUGGAUUCGUGUGGUUGGACUUUUACGGAUCGAUGACGUCAAACCGCAGCUCGCGCAUGCGAAUUAAAAAGAAAAACAACAAUAACGAUGACGGACAGACAGGGUAUUCUUUACGUUUGUUUUGCCCUUUUGGGGCUAAUUUCAGCCUUGCAAGUGAACCUUGUUUUAUACAAUUACAUCCACCAGUCAGCCAGCUCACAGACGCGUCUGCUGCGGCCAAUACUUUUAUUGGUCACAUGGUCCGUCACAUGGACCCGACGCACUAGCGUAGCUUCAGCAAACAAUGCAUGACGCAUCACGCUGUUACGAUUCAUCGGCCAAUCAUGUACGUAGCUUUGUUCCUGAAUAUUUUUUUUAAGCGGCACCAGAUAGGAUUGAGUUUGAAGGCUACGUGUGGACGCAGAUAUUUUUGAGAAGGAACACGUGUGGACAGAUACAUUUAUUUAGACGGGAGUGCAAAAAUAUCCUGAUAAAUAAAUAUCCAUAUACGUGUAGUUCGGGCCUUAGUUGUCUUUUCUCUACAAAGGGGUUUGCUCUUACAGUGGCCUUACUUGUUGUUUUUUUGUUUUUUUUAAUCUAAGUAGAUAGUUUUAUUCACUGCUGCUCAAGGUCACUGUCUUUACCAACUGCUUUCAUGAGGGAUUACUUGGUAUUUCUUCUUGAUAGUGCUCUUUGUGUGUGUGUGCGUGUGUGCAUGCUUGCAUGCGUGUAGGAUGGUCUCAUUUCUCCCCUUUCUGUGCAUUUCACACAAACAUUUACAAAGUCAUUAGCAGGGGCUAAGUGGUAGUGGGAUGCAAACAGUUUUUGCUUCACAGGACUGUGUGUGUGUGUGUGUGUGCGUGCGUGCGUGUGUGUGUGUGUGAAACCUAUCGGUGUGUCUUAGCCUGCAUCUCCAAAUCUUGUUACUCUGAACUGAUGCAACGGGAAUGCAAUACAAAUUACCUCUCUCUUCCUCUUUCCUAGUCCAGUCUCUAACUCUUAACGUGCUCUCUGAUUGCAGCUCUUUUUCUUCUCAUGCUGAAAUCCCCUUUCUCCCCUCUCCUGUUUGAUUCAAAAUAACUUCCUAUGCGUUCCCUCUAAUCUUUGUUUUAUUUUGUGUUUUUCUUUUUUUUCACCUUCCUUUUUCACAAAAUUUUUACCCUUCAAAUUAUUUUGCACUGCUCAUUAUUCCACAUCACCAUGGGCGUGUCUCUUUUCUUCUAAAAUCAUGUUUAGUCAGGAACACUUUCACCAAAACAAUGAAUAACUCACAUGUAUUAGUCAUAUUUGGUGGUAUGGCUCUGCUCUGAUAGCACCCUGCCCUUACAGGUGCUUACAUGAAAUGUCAAAGCCUGCAGCAGGUAGAGCACACAAAUAUCUUCUGUUUCAUUUGCAUACAUGAAAAACCGAGGCAAUGAGAGCAGCAACUGUAAAACACCCAGAACAGAACAAAGACAACAUCAGGGACAAUACUGACACCUGUGUGAUCAGAACGCACAUCUAAUUGCAUCUUUGCAUUGACUUUACCUGUAAUUCACUUGCGCAAAUGACUUUACUUCCACUUGGUGUCAAAAGUUCUUCAUUGAACCGAGUCUCCAUUGAUGUAAUAGUAUUCUUUGACAUGGUUGGAAAACUCAACCCAACACCUGCUGGGGAUUGGAAUUCUGCAUUAUUUUGACUGAUUCUUAACUGUAACUGAGCUGAGCUCAUCAUGGUACACAUCCACCCACUCCCUCUAAAACAUGAUUUAUGGUUUCUUCAGACUUAUAUACAGAUGUUAAGUAAUUCAGCAAACAUUAACAAACUUAAAUUCUGUUCCAUGUAGUGUAGAGGGAACCAUUGUUUGUUUUUUUGUUUUUUUUUUUUGUUUUUUUUUUAGACUUAUCGCAUUAUUCAAAACACAUUUGAGGCAUUCAGUUUUCCUGUAAUGAGGAAGUAUAGUUUCAUCAGAUUUCAGCCUAAGAUAUGAACUAAACCACAAUAUUCUGAAAAUGACUUCAGAUUAAAACUGAAUGAAAUUCCUUGUCAGAAUCAACACUGCACAGAAGAGUCAAUGUUGGUAAAGACAGGAAGGUAAGGACGGGAAGGCUACAUCCAUGGAUGGAUGUAGCUACACCAUUUUGAGCAUUUUUGAAACUUGCCAAAUAAACUACAACUGGCAGAGCUCGGUGAGAGUGGUGAGAGUAGUCUUGAUUUGAGUUUUUAGAAAAGAUGAAGUCAGUCAGUCAAGCUGUUGUCUAUGCUCAGUGCCACCAACUUGGCCUUUUUAAAAGGCUUUGUAAUAAUACAGACUGCAGAAUCUAUUUAAUGUUUAUAUGAGCAAAAUUCUCCACCUACCCUCAUGCAAGCUCUAAAACAAUCUCACUACAUCAUGUAAAAAGAAAAUGUGCUAUACAGAGAAAAACACAGCACCUGACAUUUAUUUUUAUUUAUUUAUUUUUUUUAAAGUUACACAAGCACGUGUGUCUGGAAGUUCAGCUACACUGGUCACUUACAUUACACACAUAAACACAGUCUGUUCAACUUUGAUGGAACAAUCACACAAGUGUACAUGUCUGGGAGUCAAGAUGUGUGUAUUACAAGCAGGAUACACACACAUGUGGGACUUUUACCCAUCGAUCACACACAUCUGUACACAAUCAUUGUCUGUAUACCCUGAAACAAAUCCUGUGUCAUAGUGUGUAUGUGUGUGUAUAGGUUGUAAGUGUGUGUGUCGAUCUUGUGCAAUAGUGAUCAUCACACAAGGGAGCUGCUUACAGUCCAUUUGUCUGCAAGCACAAUGACCAUUAGCUGGCAAUCAUACAUAAUGUAUGGCAGUGACCUUUCUGCACACUACACCCUGAGGCCUAUAAGCCAUUGUUACAUGUUGUAUUGAUUUGUACCUCCACAGAUGGAGCUGGUAAUACAAAGAGAGAGACUGACCCUGUGUCCACCGGCAGAAGAGGGGAAAGCAAAAGCAUCGAAGUGUAAAGAAUUGAAAAGGCUUGCUGUGAACAAGAAUUCGGACAGUGACAUAAACCUGUAAUCCUCUUUUUUAGUGGAAUGACUGCUUGACUGGCUUCCAAAUGAAAGACACAAUCAUGUUCAAUAGUGUUAAAUGUUGUGCACCUAACAAGUGUCACCUAUACACAGCCCGUUAAAUGGAAAAGUAAGAGAGGUGCCAGAAAAGUAAACGAUUUUAGUGGUCUAAAACACCUGAAAAAUUCACCAGGAUAAAAAAAAGGCACAGCAAAUAGGAACGUUGUGGGCUGACAUGUACUUUAUAUCCAUCCUGCUUCAACUGGUGCCCCAAAUGGAGAUGCAUGGAGGAAGAAAUGUUUGCAAUAACUGUUAUUUGUGUUCAGACCCUUGGCAGAUAACAAUAGGAGAGGAAGAAGGAAGGGCUUACUCAAAUUUAACAUUGUCAACCAUGAAAAGAGUUUUGGAUUAGUGGGAAGGCUGGGCAAAUGACCAGGAUGGAGGCUCUGAUAAUCACAAAGAAAAAAAACAUCAUACAUUAGGUGGUGAGGAAAACAAGAUACCGUUUCUGCAUCAGAUUUUUUCCAUUCUUUGGCCCAGACUCUUGUACUUGGAUAAUUUUAUGUCCUGUGAUGCAGCUUUUC
rnacentral:lncRNA from 1 species